GGGGAGAGUACCCGCAUCAGAUAGCUCAGACAAAUGAAGACAGUGAUGAGGAUAAUGGCUGAUGUGAGGGAUUUUAGAGUUGGUUUUGUGUAGGAUUAUUGCUUUGUGCGUCUUUUAGUUUGCGUCUUGUUAUUUGCUUCGUGUAAUCUGAUCUUCGGUUGUUUUGAGUCUUUUAGUGUCUUUCAUUUGAAUCUUCCUUUAUGUUUAGAAUGUUGCUUAUGCUGGUUUUGUACUCUAUGACUUAAUUAAGGAUCUGUUUUCAGUGUUCAUGACAGAGUUCUUGAUAGAUGUUUUGUUCUUUGUUCGGUGUUAUGGUUCUGUUGACUCUGCAGGAUGCUUAGAUUGUCACAUUCAGAUAAAAAGGGGAGAAUGUACGCUCAAGAUAAGAGCUUGGCUGUUUGUGGAACAAGAGAAGGAGUCAUACAUGCUGAUCGAUGUGUGACAUACCGAUUCGAGUUAGUUAUGGAACGAUGACGUGUUAGGUAAUCAUUGGGUCCAAGAUAGUGUGUUGGCGUGAAGCAAAGAAGAUUUGGGUUUAGCACAAUAUUAUGAAAUAUAAUA
rnacentral:lncRNA from 1 species